UGGGGAAUAUUGGACAAUGGGCGCAAGCCUGAUCCAGCAAUGCCGCGUGUGUGAAGAAGGCCUGCGGGUUGUAAAGCACUUUAAGCCGGAAAGAAGGGGUGAAAGCUAAUAUCUUUUGCCAUUGACGUUACCGGCAGAAUAAGCACCGGCUAACUCCGUGCCAGCAGCCGCGGUAAUACGGAGGGUGCGAGCGUUAAUCGGAAUUACUGGGCGUAAAGCGUGCGUAGGCGGUUCGAAUAGUCUGAUGUGAAAGCCCUGGGCUUAACCUGGGAACGGCAUUGGAAACUGUCGAGCUAGAGUGUGGGAGAGGGGUGUGGAAUUUCCGGUGUAGCAGUGAAAUGCGUAGAGAUCGGAAGGAACACCAGUGGCGAAGGCGGCGCCCUGGACCAACACUGACGCUGAGGUACGAAAGCGUGGGGAGCAAACAGG
rnacentral:rRNA from 1 species